rnacentral:rRNA from 1 species
UAAGGAAUAUUGCUCAAUGGGAGAAAUCCUGAAGCAGCAACGCCGCGUGGAGGAUGAAGGGUCUAUGACUUGUAAACUCCUGUAAGGAAGGAAAAAAUUCCCAUUAGAUGGGAGAUGAUGGUACUUCUGGAGUAAGCCCCGGCUAACUACGUGCCAGCAGCCGCGGUAAUACGUAGGGGGCAAGCGUUGUCCGGAUUUACUGGGUGUAAAGGGUGCUCAGGCGGAUUUGUAAGUCAGAGGUGAAAUCUUACAGCUUAACUGUGAAACUGCCUUUGAUACUGCAAGCCUAGAGUAUGGAAGAGAGUGAUGGAAUAUCUGGUGUAGCAGUGAAAUGCGUAGAUAUCAGAUAGAACACCAAUGGCGAAGGCAGUCACUUGGUCCAUUACUGACGCUAAAGCACGAAAGCGUGGGUAGCAAACA